CUUACCCCCGCGGCUCAGCCGGGCAGAUUUUUUUCUUCCUUUCUUUUUGUUUUGUUUCGGUUCCUGCCGGUCAGAAUCUUUUGCCAGGAAGACAGCGCCCUCUCUCUGCUCCGCUGACCUCCCGCGCCUCCUUCUCGCCGCCGCCCUCCCGGGCCCUGUCCCGUCCUUCCUCACGCCCCAGUAACCUCCUCGGGGAACAACUCUAGAGAGCAGCGGGGUCCGACCUGCUAAAGUCCGGGCGCCCCGGGCUGGCCGGCCUGAGCGUCCGACUUCUGCCUGCUUGGCUGAGAGGAGCCGUCCUGGGCGAAGACGCGGCGCUGGGGAACUCGCGCACUGCCCCGGGGAGGGGUUCCUGGCGCAGCCGGAGGGAAAGGUGCUUGGCACCGAUGUUGAGUGGCGUCUUCUGGCUCAAAUCUGGCUUUUGGCGAGUCCCUGGGAGUGAACCUCCUGAAAGCACAGCUGAAGUCGGCCCUUUUCCCCUAACUGGCCAAUCCACCUUCUUCCGCUCUAACCAUGGGUGCCCCCAUCUUUUAACGACGCCACAACGCAGUGUGGGGGGUUCCCACCGACUGACCCGACUCCCAGGCCCUGACUGAGUCCCCUGGGUGUGCGACAUCAGCAUGCUGUCUGUGAACCUCACAGCGCUUGAUCGCAGAUCAGAAAGAAACAGGCGCAGGAGCCUAGAGCCAACAGCAAGUGGAUGGGAAAGAACCUUGACAACACAAAACUCAUUUACUAAUGGACUGGUUUUGGGUUUCUCUUCUCCUGGUCCGCAAACCGCCCUGCCUGAGCCCUCGGCCUAUUCAGACCUCUCCAGGAGUGAAAUCCCCCAGGAGGCAGGUGGGCGGCUGCUCCCGCGCUGCGCCGGCCGUCCGAGUCCGGGAUCCCAAUGGCCGAAGGCACCCGGAGUUUCCGACCAAGAAGAAGAAAAAGACGAAUGUUAUGUUGUCACAUUCGUCUUUGGGGGAGUCCCUGCACUGCCCUAGAGCGACGACGCUAAUUUACUGAACACCUCCAGAUGCUCUUCCCUUCCAAAUAUCUGUAGGUAGAGUAGGAUUCCCGCUGUCCUUCUUGAUGGCGAAGGAAUUCCAAGAAAGCGGGCCCAGAGCACCAAAGCAUCUCGCUCCAAGCCAGAAGGGAAACAAGUGGGACCCAGCCAGAAAUUUUUGAACCAAGGCCUUAUGUCAGCCCAGCCAGAAAUCGCAGUAGCAACUAGUGCCUCCGCAUUGGUCUUUCUGUAGACCAGUUGUGCGCACCCCCGGCCAUUACCUGUACAGAAGAGAUACAGAAGAGCUGAAACUUGGCGUCGGACACCGCUCACCAGCCGCGUUACCCUCGGGAGCCGCGAUGCGGUGAGGGCAGCAGCUAGAGUUGGUCGUUCCCUUUAAAUCUCGGACGCAUCUCUGUUUUUCUUGUGAUUUGCAUUGACAGCGAAGGUUUUAAGUUACUAGAACAACCCAAACCUUUCUGUGUGCGAUUUAAAAUGGAUCAUUUGGUUUAUGUGGUUUGUAAAUUCAUGUCAUUUUACUUCUUUUAGUGGUUUUCAGUGAAAGGUUCCAUUUUGGGAAACCUUAUAUAUCCGAGCCAAUAAUUAACAUUUAUAACAAUUGGUUCCCCUAUCCAAGGGAUCGAAAUAGCAGGUAGGCUCGUUAGUACAAAGCGAAUGGCACUUUUCCUUUCCAGUUACGCGAUCUGUUGGAUUAAGCGCACGGAGAAAAGCUAGCGGGCCCGGGCACGGCCUGAGGAUGAUCACCACUGCUCAUCAAUCCCGGUCUCCGCAAUCAUGGUGUCCACGCGGUCAUCUUCCCACUUGUCGCCAGUGUCUAGUAUGUCCUGGUUCCUUUUGAAGAGAGAUGAAAAGAAGUGGGCAGGAAGGUUUGGAGGAAGCAGGAAAAAAAGUGGUCAUAUUGGUGUCUAAUUGCUAUCUUUCGGCUCCCCCUCCUCCCCUGUAAAUUUAUACCUGCCGUUAUUUGUCCAAGCUAUGCCUCAUUUCCUUAUACAAAAUUGUUCAUUAUAAAGUACACCCCGUACUCAACUUACCGUUUAUCUUUUGAGAGCUGUGACUGUACUUACAGGCACCUGCCC